CUUGGCUUCUUACACAGCACACAAACAGGACAGAAGACAAGCCACUCAACAAACAAGGUUCUGUGGCUGUGAAGAAACUAUAGCCCUUCCAGGAUGAGUCAGCCCAACCAUCAGGAGCUCCGCCCUUUGGCUGAAUCUACCAAAGCAAGAAACUGGAGGCAACUUUGAUUGCUUGGUAACUUUAGCUAAAAAAGAUGGAAACAUAUGCAACCAUACAUCUGGGCAAAAAAAAAAAAAAAAAAAAUUGGUAUCUCUCUUCACCCUUAGAAGAAAGGAAUCAUUGUAUAUUCAGAGAGGCCAUCAAGAAUGUAUUAUGAUUCCCUGUGUACACAGAGAUCCAUACAUUCAACAAAUGCGUAUUAGAUGGAUA